rnacentral:rRNA from 1 species
CUACGGGUUGCUCCAGUGGGGAAUAUUGGACAAUGGGGGAAACCCUGAUCCAGCAAUGCCGCGUGUGUGAAGAAGGCCUGCGGGUUGUAAAGCACUUUCGGUUGGGAGGACUGCUUCUAGCACUAAUAUUGUUGGAAGUUGACGUUACCUUCAGAAGAAGCACCGGCUAACUCCGUGCCAGCAGCCGCGGUAAUACGGAGGGGUGCAUGCGUUAAUCGGAAUUACUGGGCGUAAAGCGCGCGUAGGCGGCUAGAUCAGUCGGGUGUGAAAGCCCCGGGCUUAACCUGGGAACUGCAUCCGAUACUGUCUAGCUUGAGUACAGGAGAGGAGAGUGGAAUUCCACAUGUAGCGGUGAAAUGCGUAGAUAUGUGGAGGAACACCAAUGGCGAAGGCAGCUCUCUGGCCUGAUACUGACGCUGAGGUGCGAAAGCGUGGGGGGCAAACAGGAUUAGAUACCCUUGUAGUC